rnacentral:rRNA from 1 species
UACGAAGGGUGCAAGCGUUAAUCGGAAUUACUGGGCGUAAAGGGUGCGUAGGCGGUUCGUUAAGUCUCACUGUGAAAGACCGGGGCUCAACCCCGUGCGAGCAGGGGAUACUGGAGGGCUGGAGACCGGUAGAGGCCAGCGGAAUUUCGGGUGUAGCGGUGGAAUGCGUAGAUAUCCGAAAGAACACCGGAGGCGAAGGCGGCUGGCUGGGCCGGGUCUGACGCUGAGGUGCGAAAGCGUGGGGAGCGAACAGG